UUCCAUUGACAGUAGCUUAAAACUAGAAAAGCACAAUAUAAAUGGAGUUAAUGAACCAUCUGUAAAACUGAGUUUCUACACAAUUAAUCCUGCAAAAGCACCACUUUAAAGCUUGUGUUCACCAGAACUGUGCUCAGAAGUUUCUUGGAAAUGAGUAAUGAAGCAUAAAUAAGCAUAAAAAAUGACUUGGCAACUAAAGAAAUCUUAGUCGACUAAGAC